GAUCUUUAUUUUUAUUUUUUAUAAAUUAAUUAGAUUAAAAAAAUUUAUAAUUAAAUUAAAAAUUUUACUGGGGUGGUAUUAAAAUUUAAUUAACUUUUAUAUUUUGUUACAUAAAUAUAUGAAUAAUUGAUCCAAUUUUAUUGAUUAAAAAAUUAAGUUACCUUAGGGAUAACAGCGUAAUUUUUUUUUAGAGUUCAUAUCGACAAAAAAGAUUGC
rnacentral:rRNA from 1 species